rnacentral:rRNA from 1 species
UGGAGCAAACCCCUAAAAAUGGUCUCAGUUCAGAUUGCAGGCUGCAACCCGCCUGCAUGAAGUCGGAAUCGCUAGUAAUCGCGGAUCAGCAUGCCGCGGUGAAUACGUUCCCGGGCCUUGUACACACCGCCCGUCACACCAUGAGAGUCGGGAACACCCGAAGUCCGUAGCCUAACUGAAAGGGGGCGCGGCCGAAGGUGGGUUCGAUAAUUGGGGUGAAGUCGUAACAAGGUAGC